rnacentral:lncRNA from 10 species
CGACCCCUCUGCCUGUGCCUCUUCCACCUCGGCCCCGACCCCUCUGCCUGUGCUUCCCAGGCUAGCCUGCUCAGGGCUGUCACUGUCUGGUCACUGGUCUGUCUUCCCACUGAACUGGGGCCCAGUGAGAGUAGGGUCUGAAGCUCACGCAGUGUCUGCUAUGUCCCAGCAUCAUCCAGCACAGAGCUGGGCACAGAAAGGAUGUCAGUGAAUAUUUGUUUCAUAAAUUAACAGAUGAAUCCCAAAGGUGGUAUUAUUUUUAAUUCCUUUCCUUUCCUUUUUUCUCUUUCCUCUUUCCCCUUUCCCCUUUCCUUUCCUUUCCUUUCCUUUCCUUUCCUUUCCUUUCCUUUCCUUUCCUUUCCUUUCCUUUCCUUUUUUGAGACGGCAUCUCCCUCUGUCACCCA